GAUGAACGCUGGCGGCGUGCCUAAUACAUGCAAGUCGAGCGAACGGACGAGAAGCUUGCUUCUCUGAUGUUAGCGGCGGACGGGUGAGUAACACGUGGAUAACCUACCUAUAAGACUGGGAUAACUUCGGGAAACCGGAGCUAAUACCGGAUGAUAUUUUGAACCGCAUGGUUCAAAAGUGAAAGACGGUCUUGCUGUCACUUAUAGAUGGAUCCGCGCUGCAUUAGCUAGUUGGUAAGGUAACGGAUUACCAAGGCAACGAUGCAUAGCCGACCUGAGAGGGUGGUCGGCAACACUGGAACUGAGACACGGUCCAGACUCCUAAGGGAGGCAGCAGUAGGGAAUCUUCCGCGAUUGGCGAAAGCCUGACGGAGCAACGCCGCGUGAGUGAUGAAGGUCUUCGGAUCGUAAAACUCUGUUAUUAGGGAAGAACAUAUGUGUAAGUUACUGUGCACAUCUUGACGGUACCUAAUCAGAAAGCCACGGCUAACUACGUG
rnacentral:rRNA from 1 species